rnacentral:rRNA from 1 species
CACGUAGGGCGCAAGCGUUGUCCGGAAUUAUUGGGCGUAAAGAGCUCGUAGGCGGUCUGUUGCGUCCGCUGUGAAAACCCGGGGCUCAACCCCGGGCCUGCAUUCGAUACGGGCAGACUAGAGUUCGGUAGGGGAGACUGGAAUUCCUGGUGUAGCGGUGAAAUGCGCAGAUAUCAGGAGGAACACCGGUGGCGAAGGCGGGUCUCUGGGCCGAUACUGACGCUGAGGAGCGAAAGCGUGGGGAGCGAACAGG